rnacentral:tRNA from 1 species
GGUAAAAUGGCUGAGAUUAAGCGAUAAAUUGUAAAUUUAUACACGAAGACAACCUUCUUUUACCA